rnacentral:tRNA from 1 species
CGGGACCAGAUCACCGGGAGGUGAUACCGCCGUGACAAGGCGGAUGUGGAGGGUUCGAGUCCCUCGGUCCCGACCA